rnacentral:rRNA from 1 species
UACGGAGGGUGCAAGCGUUAUCCGGAUUCACUGGGUUUAAAGGGUGCGUAGGUGGGCUGGUAAGUCAGUGGUGAAAUCUCCAGGCUUAACUUGGAAACUGCCAUUGAUACUAUUAGUCUUGAAUACCGUGGAGGUCAGCGGAAUAUGUCAUGUAGCGGUGAAAUGCUUAGAUAUGACAUAGAACACCAAUUGCGAAGGCAGCUGGCUACACGAAUAUUGACACUGAUGCACGAAAGCGUGGGGAGCAAACAGG